UGGGUGUUGGCGGCGGCUACACAUGCAGUCGAGCGGCAGCGGGUCCUUCGGGAUGCCGGCGAGCGGCGGACGGGUGAGUAAUGCCUAGGAAUCUGCCUGGUAGUGGGGGAUAACUCGGGGAAACUCGAGCUAAUACCGCAUACGUCCUACGGGAGAAAGCGGGGGAUCUUCGGACCUCGCGCUACCAGAUGAGCCUAGGUCGGAUUAGCUAGUUGGUGAGGUAAAGGCUCACCAAGGCGACGAUCCGUAGCUGGUCUGAGAGGAUGAUCAGCCACACUGGAACUGAGACACGGUCCAGACUCCUACGGGAGGCAGCAGUGGGGAAUAUUGGACAAUGGGCGAAAGCCUGAUCCAGCCAUGCCGCGUGUGUGAAGAAGGUCUUCGGAUUGUAAAGCACUUUAAGUUGGGAGGAAGGGCAGUAAGUUAAUACCUUGCUGUUUUGACGUUACCGACAGAAUAAGCACCGGCCAACUUCGUGCCAGCAGCCGCGGUAAUACGAAGGGUGCAAGCGUUAAUCGGAAUUACUGGGCGUAAAGCGCGCGUAGGUGGUUUGAUAAGUUGGAUGUGAAAGCCCCGGGCUCAACCUGGGAAUUGCAUCCAAAACUGUCUGACUAGAGUAUGGCAGAGGGUGGUGGAAUUUCCUGUGUAGCGGUGAAAUGCGUAGAUAUAGGAAGGAACACCAGUGGCGAAGGCGACCACCUGGGCUAAUACUGACACUGAGGUGCGAAAGCGUGGGGAGCAAACAGGAUUAGAUACCCCGGUAGUCCACGCCGUAAACGAUGUCGACUAGCCGUUGGGAUCCUUGAGAUCUUAGUGGCGCAGCUAACGCAUUAAGUCGACCGCCUGGGGAGUACGGGCCGCAAGGUUAAAACCCAAAUGAAUUGACGGGGGCCCGCACAGCGGUGGAGCAUGUGGUUUAAUUCGUAGCAACGCGAGACCUUACCAGGCCUUGACAUGCAGAGACUUUCAGAGAUGAUUGUGCUUCGGAACUCUGACAAAGGUGCUGCAUGCUGUCGUCAGCUCGUGUCG
rnacentral:rRNA from 1 species